rnacentral:rRNA from 1 species
UACGUAGGGUGCAGGCGUUAAUCGGAAUUACUGGGCGUAAAGCGUGCGCAGGCGGUCUAUUAAGACAGGUGUGAAAUCCCCGGGCUCAACCUGGGAACUGCAUUUGUGACUGCAUAGCUAGAGUGCGGCAGAGGGAGAUGGAAUUCCGCGUGUAGCAGUGAAAUGCGUAGAUAUGCGGAGGAACACCGAUGGCGAAGGCAAUCUCCUGGGCCUGCACUGACGCUCAUGCACGAAAGCGUGGGGAGCAAACAGG